rnacentral:rRNA from 1 species
UACGUAGGGGGCUAGCGUUGUCCGGAAUCAUUGGGCGUAAAGCGCGCGUAGGCGGCCCGGUAAGUCCGCUGUGAAAGUCCAGGGCUCAACCCUGGAAAGCCGGUGGAUACUGCCGGGCUAGAGUCCGGAAGAGGCGAGUGGAAUUCCUGGUGUAGCGGUGGAAUGCGCAGAUAUCAGGAGGAACACCAAUGGCGAAGGCAGCUCGCUGGGACGGUACUGACGCUGAUGCGCGAAAGCGUGGGGAGCAAACGGG